rnacentral:rRNA from 1 species
UACGUAGGGGUCGAGCGUUGUCCGGACUUACUGGGCGUAAAGCGCGCGUAGGCGGUUAUUUAAGUUGGAUGUGAAAGCCCUCGGCUUAACUGAGGAAGUGCAUCCAAAACUGGAAUAGCUAGAGUACGAAAGAGGGUCGCGGAAUUCCCGGUGUAGAGGUGAAAUUCGUAGAUAUCGGGAGGAACACCGGUGGCGAAGGCGGCGACCUGGGUCGAGACUGACGCUGAGGCGCGAAAGCGUGGGGAGCAAACAGGG